rnacentral:tRNA from 1 species
AACGGGUUAGUAUAAUAAAUACCACCGAUUUAGGAUCGGUAAAAAAGACCCACACCCUUACCCGUUA